AGCCUAAUUUGGAUAAUCCUUUCGUUCCCUCUCUGGCUAUUCAAGUCACCUAUUCGGCUACCAAGAACAGAAAGCCUUGGGAUGGUAUUAAUUGCCACCUGCAGAGGCUUAAUCGGGGAAGGCAGUGGAUUGAACCUGGAUAUCGUUCUUCAAAUACAUCGUUCCACUGGUUAAGCAUAUGGAGAAAGUUGAUCGGGUGUUGAAGCAGACAAGGUUCAAACAUCAUUUUUCUAUUGCAUUUUUCUUUAUUCCUGAUAGAAAGUUUGUGCUGACCAGCAUAACCUUGUAAUAAUCUGUAAUACAAGAGCCUCCACCAACAUUACAAAAUGUGUAAUGGAAGAACAUGUACUUUAUAUGCUUUUUAACUAGAAGUGUGAAUUGGAGUUGACGAACAAUACAAUGAACGGAGUAAGCACUAGAAUUUUCUCUCAAUAUAAAAUUUUU
rnacentral:misc_RNA from 1 species